UUAUGGAUAGUUAUUAUUAGUAGCAGUAUUAAUUACUAUUAUUGUGUACUACUAAUAUCAUUGUUACAUUUAUUAUUGUUAUUAUUAUUAUUAUUAUUAUUAUUAUUAUUAUUAUUAUUAUUAUUAUUAUUACUAUUAUAUAUAUAUAUUAUUUUUUAUUUGAUUAUUAUUCCCAUUUCUUAUUAUUAUUGAUUAUCAUUAUUAUUAUUGAUUAUCAUUAUUGUUAAUUGUUAUUUUUAUUGAUUAUUACUAUUAUUAUUUUUUAUUAUUGUUGUUGUCAUUAUUAUUAUUAUUAUACUAUAUUAUUUUUGUUACUAACAAUUAUAAUUAUUCCUUAUUAUAAUUAUUAUUGUUUAUUAUUGUUUAUUAUUAUUAUUAUUUUUAUUUUUAUUUUUAUCGAUUAUUAUUAUUAAUUAUUAUUAUUAUUGAUUAUUAUUGUCAUUACUAAAUUAUCAUUAAUAAGAUUUUAUCAUUUACAUUGGUUAUUAUUAUUGUUAUUUAUUAUUUAUUAAUUAAAUUGAUUAUUUUUUAAUUGUUAAAUAGAAAAUUUGAUUAAAUUGUCCCAUCAGUUUUCAGAUGCGUUGCAAUUUCAGAGUUAAAAAUUCAAUUUAAUUUCAGAAAUUGAAUAACGCAUUGAUUUUAUUGUCGUCCUCAAAUAAUGUGAUUCUCACAUGAAUCACUUUCCAAUUGCUUCACACAUCGCUAAAUUUAAUAGUUUAAUUGUCAUUUCUUUUUACCUUUAAAAAAUAUCAUUUAAAUUAUCAAGUUGUUGGAUUUUCAGACGUUCCAAUUUUGGAGUUAAAAAUUCAAUUUAACUUUAGUAACUGCUUAAACGCAUAUACUUUGUUGAUCAUACUUAGAUAUGGUGAUUCCUACAUGAAUUUCUUUACGAUUGCUCAACCUGAGUCUUUUAAAUGAUAUAUAUAUAUAUAUAUAUAUAUAU
rnacentral:lncRNA from 1 species